UACAGAGGUGGCAAGCGUUGUUCGGAAUUACUGGGCGUAAAGGGCUCGUAGGUGGCCAACUAAGUCAGACGUGAAAUCCCUCGGCUUAACCGGGGAACUGCAUCUGAUACUGGAUGGCUUGAGAUUGGGAGAGGGAUGCGGAAUUCCAGGUGUAGCGGUGAAAUGCGUAGAUAUCUGGAGGAACACCGGUGGCGAAGGCGGCAUCCUGGACCAACACUGACGCUGAGGAGCGAAAGCCAGGGGAGCAAACGGG
rnacentral:rRNA from 1 species